GCAAGCGACCUUCGGGCUCAGGGCGGCGGCGGCUGCAACGAGGAUUAGGAGGGCGGCGCGGAAGCCAAGAAUAGUGUCGUCAGCAGCAGCCAUUUGGUCCCAGGAGGAAAAGAGGCUGUGGCAGCGACGCCGACGUCCUGCGCGUACCCCCUCUCCGCGGCACCCACCGGGCCCCCUCCUCCUCCUCUUCGGCGGCGGCAGCGUCCACCAUCUUCCUCUUGCUGCCAGUGGUAGCGCUCGUCUGGCGGAGCUGGGGCUGAAAGACACACAGAAGUCUUCAUGGAUAUAGUUGAUACAUUUAAUCAUUUAAUUCCUACUGAACACUUAGAUGAUGCCCUAUUUCUAGGAUCCAACCUGGAGAAUGAAGUCUGUGAGGAUUUUAGUGCAAGUCAAAAUGUCUUAGAGGACUCGCUGAAGAACAUGCUCAGCGAUAAGGAUCCUAUGCUAGGAUCUGCAAGUAACCAGUUCUGUUUGCCUGUUUUGGAUAGCAAUGAUCCCAAUUUCCAGAUGCCUUGUUCA
rnacentral:lncRNA from 1 species